CGGGGGAGCGGACAGGAGCUGCCUGGACAGCGUGCGUGGUUGCCCUGCUAAUGUGAACAGGGAAUGGUGUUGCUUCUGGAGUAUCUAGUCAGGAACCUACUAUUGUAGGUUUAGAAGUGCACCAAUUACUAUGUUUCCAACCCGAUGAUUCAUUGUUUCAUAUCCAGGUGCCAAAAAGCUGUGAUGGUUAUCAAGAUGAAGCUAUAUGAAUGAUCUGUGCUAAAAAACCCCCAUGUUCCUAAAUGAAAAAUCAGAAUGUUGCUUUUCCCUUAGCGAUAUCAUAGGGAAAACUGGAAUUCUGUUUGGUCUGUUGAAAACUGUCAUAAAUUUGUAGGGCUCAGUGCAAGUUCAUGGAUUCCUCACAGUCACAAAUAAAAGACUACUAUAUUUUAUUAUAUAUUGUAGCUGCUUUAAAUUCACAGUCUGGGUUUAAAACUAUGCAAGCUGUCUAUUCACUUAGUUUUCUAAAUGAGGCAGAAAUUGCUUAAAGGCGAAUCCAGGAAGUAGACUCAGCAUGUAGUCAACAGAAGUCCAUGUGUUACAAUAUUAACAUUUUAAUGUUCAUGGUUUUUGGAUUUGUGUGUUAUUGUUUUGCAUAGAUCAUGGCUUGGGGGGGUGUCUGGGGACUGGUGAAAUGUGAGGAAGAGCUAAAUAACGUGAGGCCUCCUGGCUGAUCCUGUUACAUUUCCAGCUGAGGAAGCUUGGACCUCUGAGCCCAGCUCAAUGCAGCAAAGUGAACAUAGGCAGAUUCCUUCAAGUGUUUUUUUGUAGUGUUGUUUGCUAGCCUUCAUGCUUUGACAACUUGCUGUCUAUGAAAUUAGCCGCUGUUCAAGCAUCUAAAAGAUUGACAUCAAUUGUGCAGUCAGGCAAAAGACGGAUCUGUUAUAGUUACAGUUUGGCAGAGAUUAUGGUCAGAGAUAAAGAUAACUAUUUAUAUAGCCUGUAAUCUCAAUAGUAUGCAUUGGUUAGCUGCCAUCUUUGGCUACUUUUUUUGUCAGUACUUCAGUGAAGUUACUGGCAAACCUGUGUCUUGAAAAUUUAAGUUGGAUUAACAGCAUUAAUUUUAUUUUAGCUGCUGUAGCUUUAGGAGGCAUUCUUAUCCUCCUCAGUACUCCUUUCAGAGCACUCUCCUUAAAUACUUCUGGUUCUUCUCAGAAGUCUUACUUUUGUUUAAAAUACAUAAAUAAAGUCUGCUGCUUACUGCUGCAGUUGUGGGGAAAAGCUUGAAAGAAUAGUACAUGUUUGCCAGAGUUGUUGGAUUGCAGAAAUGGCUCUUUAUGAGCAGGUAUCUCCUCUCCGAUGCUCAUCUGUCCGUGGUGGGUCUCUAAUGGUUGACGACAACUUGUUUUUAUCAUCCAUGCAGCGUGUGAAAGGAUGAGGGAUGAUACUGUGAAAAGCUAUGGAAGUGCCUCCGACAGGCUGAAGAGCGGACAUGAGAACUGUAGUUGCAGCGGACUUGGAGCCGUGUUGACAAGACACGCGCAUGCAGAUGAGGGAGACCCCCAGAGACUGGUGGGCUGUUGGGAGGCAUGGUUAGCUUCAUUUUCAUAAAGCAAAGCAUGCCGGUACUCGGGGGAGUUUUGGACUAGAGAGGGCCUUUAGAUGUUUUCAUAUCAGUUCAUUGAUAUAGAAAAAAGGUUAGCUUCCGCUUUGAUUUACCUAUGGAGAGCUCUUUGUAGUGUUGUUUUGUUAGGAACUCGCUUUUUAGGGGAGAUGAAUCCAACCAUACCCUGCGGUGGUCAGGCUGCAAUUGUAAUUCACAGAGAUCUAGUUGAUGGAGCAAUUAAUAUGAUGAAACGUGAGUGGGUUUUUGUUCUGUUGUAGCAAUAAAAGAUCCUGCACUCUGAACUGUAAAUAUUGUUAAAUUGUAUUUGCGUUGCCUUUGGGAAAAAACAACAAAGUUUGGACCUUUCACCGUAAUUUUGUUCUUUGUGUACAUAGGAAGGGAUGUGUGUGGUUUUUUUUUUUUUUUAAACUUUGAAGAAUUUCACUAGUAGUCUGUUAUCUUGUGCUUUCCAUCAUGCUGACAGUACUGUCUCUGUAUUUCCGAAGGUCAUCUGUACUGGAAGGUCAGUACCGGGGGAAAGGGUUAUAUUUUCUGUAGAAACUGUUACGGUCUCAUGGCAUCCAUCCCAUCUGAUGCUUGUCUUAAGUGUGAGAUUGGCUCUCUGCUUUGUGCUUCUGGAUGGGCAGAAAAUGCGAAGUCCUUAAAGGCUUUCCUAUUUUGUGUAGUGGACUUUAUUAAAGAAUUCUUCCUCCUGUUCUUAUACAAAGUCAUACUUCCUUAACUGAAAGAAGACAAAGUUAUUUUUGUUUGCUUGCUAUUAAAUGUGUAGAAUUGCUCCAUUCCUUUGGGUGCAUGAGAAAAAUAUUACACUGGCAUUUUUAUACUUGGGGUGCUAUGGCAUUUGUUGGCUGGCAGGAGAUACCAACGACCUGCAGUACCCUAAGCAAGUCAAGACUGCCUUGAAAGUUUGAGUGCCUGUCUACUUUCUGCUCUUGGUCCUCUGUCUUAUCAAGUAGGAGGUGUGUGGUCAGUGGUAUCUGCCAGAACGGUCUAUGCCCCCAGGCAUGACUUAUGUUAGAGACAGGACUUUUUCUUGAGCCCCUCCUCUGGAUCUUUUUUCUUGCCUACGAUGGCAAGCUGCAUAUUGCAGUUGAACCCUGGGAUUACCGUAUAUUUAUCAUGUAUCGGUGGUCCCACGCUUAGAAUUUGCAGGGUUUGCAGGUAUACAUAUAGUGAUCUCUUUAUUAGCUUCUGUUUUUCUGCAUUUGACUUGCCUUGCUUGGAUAGCAAUGUUGUUGCAGCAGCUUGAGGAUGAGCCUGCGCCUGUAGCUCAGACUGAUCUAACGGUAUCUUGGUGCUGCUGCGAGAAUGAGGCCCUUCUUCCCCUUUCCGCUCUCCGAUGUGUGCACACAUGCCCUCCUCCUUUACCUCUGCCCUUUGCGCUGGAGCUCUGGCUCCUGACCAGCUUGCCUCAGUGCGCUCGAUUUGUUUCUGCUGCACUUGUUUUCUGCCAGGUUAGUGGGUGGCAUGUGCUCGGGGAAGCUUCAGGCAGCCCCAGGGCUGGGGCAGACCAAGGGAGGGCCUUCUGCAGCUGGGAAAGCAGGAGCAGACCUCCCUCAUUUGACUAGUUGUCUGUUAGCUCUGCUGUGCCACGUAGUGUCACCUGGAGUUUCCGCAAUCCACUCCAACCUGGGAUAGUGUCUCUCAGCAGCCACCAGUUUUGUUCAUGCUGCUUGUGGUGGAUCUCACCGGCGUGCAUCCAUGGGGUGAGGGGAUCCCGUGAGCUUAUACGGGAAGGAAAAAGGGAAGUGUGGGAACAUGAAGUACUAAUAAAUAAAUGACCAAAAAAUGCC